UUUUUAGUAAAUCAUUAAAACUCAGUGAAAAGGAAGUGAAAACAUUGGCUACACAAAUCUUGUGACAAGCUGCUUCUUUGAAAGUACUUGAUUGUGUGACAUUGACAGUGAAAAGUUUUAUAGACAAUUAUGCUGACUUUCUAGAUAUUUCAUAUAAUAGAUAUUGUUGUGGCUAGGUCAAACAAUUAUGCUAAAUGUUCAAAUAAUUCUAGUCAAUCAGUACUAACAGUUAAUGUUGCUCAAGGCUCAUGUUCUUAAAGGGUGUUGAAGAGGCCAGAGUCAGAUGGAAGCCGUGUUCUGGAUGUGGGAUGAAAUGGAAAGACUCCUGGGAACCAUUAAAUCACUUUUUGUAAAAUACAGUGGGUUAUAAAAAAGGAAUGCUUUUAAAAAAAGAUUUGUCUACUGCUGUUGUUGCUAUUUUCGGUGCAUGUCUUGUUUUUGUUUGUUGUUUUAAAUCUACUUUAACUCAGCACAUGUUUAAACCCACAUUUUGACUUAUUUUGUUUUAUUUUUAUUUUUUGAAUUGUAUUAUAAUACAUUUUUCUGUUAACCUAGAGUAAAGACUUCCACGCACAAAGAU